UGAAUCUAUGUUGCACACCCUGAUAC
rnacentral:piRNA from 1 species